AGGAGGAACAACCCCAGUGGCAUCGGCCAGUUCUGAACACCUGUAAUCAGCCCCCGCAGUAACUCUGGAGCAGUCCAUCUGCAGGGCCUGGAGCCUCUGGUGCAGG
rnacentral:pre_miRNA from 1 species